GACGUAGGGGGCCAGCGUUGUUCGGAAUUACUGGGUGUAAAGGGUUCGUAGGCGGUGUGGCAAGUCGGGAGUGAAAUCUCUGGGCUCAACCCAGAGACUGCUUCCGAAACUGCUGUGCUUGAGUGUGAGAGAGGCUCGUGGAAUUGCAGGUGUAGCGGUGAAAUGCGUAGAUAUCUGCAGGAACACCCGUGGCGAAAGCGGCGAGCUGGAUCACUACUGACGCUGAGGAACGAAAGCUAAGGGAGCAAACAGG
rnacentral:rRNA from 1 species